CGCAUGCGCCACGGCGUGAACCUGAAAGCAAACAGAGAGGCUGAAAGUGAUAAAGCUCUUGUGAACGUGAUGCUGGAGGCACAAGGAACUGAAAGAUUUAUUUACUAAACUAGAAAAGGAUGGAGAUGGAAGGGUGAGCUUUGAGGAGUUGCAGUUUGGGUUGUUCAGCCACAUGACCACCUUUUUCCAAGGUACGUCAACGUCUUUCAAGCAGCCAAGACUCAGCACUUCAUGGGCGUCAGAGGACAGUGCACAGGGAAGCAGUCUGUCCUUCCAGCCAAGCUGCAUGGGCCCACAUCUCUUCUCCAGCAUCAGCAACGGCACUAGAUUUGCCAAGCCUGAACUUGUCAUUGAUAUCUGAGCCUUGGCAGAACUCAGAGGAGAUCCUCAAGGUCUCUGGUGCCGCCUUGACCGGUGGUGAGGCUGAGUAGCAGCAUGGAGAAGCAGGUGAGCCUGGCAGAGCUGCCUACAGCUUUGGACAACACACUCAUGGUCCCCAGGAGCGGGCUUCAGCAUGCAGUCAUUACCUCCUAUGGAUACAAACUGCAGUGCCUCAGGAUCCAGGUGAGGCAGAUCGCCAGGGAGAGGGACAAGGCAAGGCUGGACUUGGAGAAAGUGGAGAGACGCUGCCUGCAGCUUGGCAGGCAGUUGGACGAGCAGUACAUCGCUCUCGAGCACACCCAGAGCAAGCUCAAGGAUUUUCAGGCAGAAAUAGAGGCAAAAGAGCUGCUUUUGCAGCAAGCAGCCAGUCACCAAGCGAAGCUGGAGGCUGAUACACGGUUCCUCCAGGGCAAAGAGGCCAGCCUGCAAGGGAGACUGAACCACACGACAAAGGAGAACACACAGCUGCAAAACAAGGUCACGGAGAUGGCUGGGAAACUGGUGGCCUCUGAGAAGCUGGUGCUGGAGCUGCAGAAAGAGCUCAACCGUGUUGUGAAGGACAAGGUAAACUAUUACGAGGAGGAAAUCGACUUAAUGAGGAAAAACUUUGAGAGCGAGAGGAAGGACAGUGAGGAAAGCUUCAAGGCUGAGAUGCGCGAGAUGGAAGACGAGAAAAGAGACCUGGAAGAAACAGUUGCAAAGUACUGGGCUGUAAUUGAUAGCUUGAAAGAGCAAAAAUGUGUGUGGAACCUGGAGCUGGAGGAGAGGUUUGAGAUGGAGCAGGCCAGGGUGGGACAACAGCACACUGAAGACAUUUACCAUCCAGGGCAGCAGCUGGACCAGGAGAGAGAAGAGCUGAGGACGCAAUGCAGGGACAGAGAGAGCCUGAGGGGAGAGCUGUGCUGGCUGCUGGAGGAGAACAGCUUGCUGAAAAGUCAACUCAGGAGACUCCGGCAAGAGCUGAGGCUAGCAAAGGAGAAGGGCAGCGAACACGAUGAGAAGCAUGUGAAUGAGUUGGCCAGAAAGAAGGUGGAGGAGCUGGCUGAAAUAGCAGAGUUAACAGCGUUGAGUGAGAAGAGCAAGGGAGAGGUCUCCCACCUGAAUGUCAAGAUGCGUCAGCUGGGCCAUGAACUCACUGAGCACAGGGCUGGCCAUGGUGCUGGCCCUGGCAUUGUCCAGCUGCAGAGCCAGAGGCUUGCGGGUGCUGAGUGGCUACAAGGAGCAGAGACGGCUGCAAGGCUGGAGCACCACCAGCAGUAUGCAGCAUGUUGGAUGGAGACAGAGCUACUCCAACAGCAGCUCAAGACCUUGCAGGAGAAGCUCUUAGAAGCCAAAGCAAGCCUGAGCCUGGCCCAGACUCGGCACGCUCUGCAGCUGCAGCAGGCCAAGGCCCAGAUGAACAACAUGGUGCCAAAGAAACAGUUUGAGCAGCUGCAAACCAGCUUGGGAGAGGAACAGUGCAAGGCUCAGCAGCUCCAGGAAAAUCUCCACCGGCAGGCUGAGCAGACGUGCAGGCAGCUGGUCAGGACCCAGGAGGAACACGAGCAUCUGCUGCAGGCAGCUGCGGAGCAGGCAGAGGGGCUGGAGCACAAUCUGAGGAGUGCCGAAGCUCUGCUGGCAGAGAGGGUAGCUCAGCUCAAAGACGCCCAGGCCCAACUCUCCAGGAACAAACUGCUGAUCGAAGACCUCCGUGAGGAGAACAGGGGGUUUGCAAUGGCCCUGCAGGUGGCUGAGCUGAAGCAGAAGAGCACUGAGGAGAAGAAUCAGCUGUUGGAGGAGCAAGCCUCAGCUCUGAAGCAGCUCAUCGGAAAAAUCACGCCAGCAUCUCUGAGUGGGUGAUGGGGCACCCGCUGUGGCAGCCCUGCCUGUGGUCCUGGCCGGGGUUUGUCAGGCGUGGAAGGAGAGCUCCUCUUGGGCUCUAGGAGACACUGGCCCUCCUAAAGCCUGAGCCUAGGAUCCAAACCAACCUAUUGCUGGAUUGUUGCCUCUGGGGUGAGCAGAACAGAGGGGCUCAGGGAAGAGCCUUCUUUCAGUUUGAGCUUCCAAGGCUUGGGGCAGGGUUGGUGACCCCUACUCAGCACUGCACUUCUUCAAAGGAGACCAGGAGACAAGGACAGUGGUACCAUCAUCGAUCUCAAAUUCUCCAUAGUCUCUUAAACACCGCACCUGCAAAGCAGAAACACAGCUCUCUGAUGAUCAGAUCUCCCAUAGAAAACACUAGACAUCACUGCUGACUUACAACACAUGCCCCAGAACUCUAAGGAUGGACACAUUCCUACCGGCCUGCUGGAGCCUCAAUAUAGAGCAGACCUGGAAAUGCAGAACUGGACUGAUCCCAUGGUCUGUGGGCUCUGCCUGAUGUUCUCUUCCUGCAUCUGCCUGGAGCAAGAAGCACCAGCGAGAAGACCAGCCCACCCCUCCACAGAGACUAGAGGAAGAGCAACAAAAGAGACAGGGUCUGGGGAACAGCAGCAGCAUUUCCAGGAGAACCUCCCCACACACAUACCAGAAAAUGCCAAUCUGUUAACAAUGAAACUGUCUUAAGAAGCAGGUUGAUUGUCACUACAUGUUCGUUCGAAGAGAACAUCAGAACAGAGCACUUCAGCUACUGACUCUGAUUUCUCACAUGCUCUUGCUUUGUUGUAUCAAUUGUGUGAAACUAUUUAUAGUCUUAUUUAUCAGAGUCCAUUUAAAAUAACAACAAAGAAAACUAGUUAACAAUCCUUAACAUGGGAACAAGGUUUCUAGUUGAUCUGAGAGUUGAUCAAUGCUGCAAAUGGGAUCAAUGCUCGCUGGGAUUCAGACCACUCACCCCGCCACACCAGUUCCCUGCGGACUAGAAAUGCCAUCUUUCAGCAUACUUUGAGCCCUCAGUAGAAGAGGGAGUAAAACGCUGACAGGCAGAGUGUAAAGAGUAAAAUGUAGAAGCUUGUGGAAGCUUUGGUGCUCUGAAAGGCUUUGCUCAAUGACCUUCUGACUUGGGAUGGGGGUGAAAUUCUCUAAA